rnacentral:snRNA from 1 species
CUCACUAACAUCCUCUCAGGUGUAGUAUCUGUUCUUUUCAGUUUAAUCUCUGAAACGAGUCUACGGACUCUUUUAAGAUUAUGUGAGUUCUUCCCUCACCUCCUCUCCCUUCCACUCUGGCUAACGGCUUCACAGUCUUAUUUUUGAAACUCGAGAAGAGGCCGCUGGGCUUGCUCAUGUCUCAUCUCACCGUGUCCUUGGUAUCGCACUACCUCCAAGCGACGCGAAGAAAC